GGCGCCGUGGCGUAGUGGUUAGCGCGCCUGCCUGUACCUAUCAGGUAAUGGGUUCAAGGCUCGUCGGUGCUA
rnacentral:tRNA from 1 species